rnacentral:lncRNA from 1 species
UAGGCCUUGUUUGGCAUGGCUUCACUCCUAAACUCCAGCAACUCCAUCGAAAAAUUCAGCCAAACACCCCAACUCCAAAACUCCAUGGAGUUGCCAACUCCAUGGAGCUGUAGUGCAAAUGGAGGUGGAGUUUUGAAGCACCUCUUUUGCUGCUCCAGAAACCUCUCUUUGAACCUCCUCGUGGAGUUGGUGGGUAAUUACCCACCAAUGCCACUGGUUACACAAAAAAACGUUUCAUUCUAUUCUCUCUUCUAUUCUCUCGAGCCCCACUCGUCGCCAGAGCCCCGCCCGUCGCC